GUUGGCGACAUCAUGAACGGUGAAACCGUGAAACCUCACUAUAAAUAACAAAAGCAUUAACAUUAGAGCCCAAACAACUAUUGUUUAUCCAAAUCAUUUACGAAGUAAUAACUACUCCUUAGAAGUAAUAAUAUUAUUACUUUUUGUUUGGGAGGUGAAAAAGUAAUAAUUACCCCAUAAAAACAUUGAGAAUGGCUGUUAAUCAAUUGGUUGUGUGCCUCCUUCUUCUUACAUUAGGGCAUAUGACAAGAAAAACAGAAGGAUUUUUAUGCAUGGAAACGCUGAAUGUAGAAUGUAGUGAUUGUAUUUCGAGUUGUCAUGCAACAUACAACCCCGCAGCUAUAGGGGCUUGUAACCGCUCAGCAAAGGGGUGUAGAUGCUAUUGGACAUGUCCUAAACCUAAUCCAAGGAAGCUCAUUGCAUCUUCCGUUUGAUUGGUCCAUCCAUUAUGUUGAAAUUAUGAAGGCGUUUGAUGCAAAAGUAGACUAUCUCAAUGUAUCCUCUUUACAAAAGAUGUUUUUUUUUUUAUUCGUGAUGAUUACAGUAUAAAAUUCUAGGGUAUGAAAAGUUCCAAAUUGAUUUAUACAAUCAAGUGAUUCAUUAACAUUUUUGGGUCUUUUAUUUAUAUAAGAGAAAAGUAUAAACUUGAUUA